rnacentral:lncRNA from 10 species
ACUCUUCAUGAGUCACACCAACCACCUAGUCAGUCCAAAUGAGAGAACCUGGAUACCUCUGUUGACGAUGCAGGAUUCACUUGCCAUUUUGUUCUUCUCUUCGUGGGAACCUCCGAUGACAGCUGUUUCUAGCUCAAGCUGGAAGGGACUUGUCUUAGAUGAGAGUUUGGACUUGGACUUUUGAGUUAAUGGAGGAAUCCAGUGGGAGGUAAUUGAAAUAUGGGGGCAGGUUUUUCCCAUGCUCUUCUUGUGAUAGUGAAUAAGUUUCACAAUAUCUGAUUGUUUUAUAAAGGGCAGUUUCCCUGCACACACACUCUUGCCUGCUGCCAUGUAAGACAUGCCUUUUCUCCUCCUUUGCCUUCUGCCAUGAUUGUGAGUCCACCCAAGCCGUGUAGAACAGUGAGUCCAUUAAACCUCUUUUUCUUUACAAAUUACCCAGUACUGGGUAUGUCCUUAUUAGCAGUGUGAAAAGGAGCUAAUACAGUGUGAGAGUGUUUUUAGAAAAGAUUAGCAUUUGAAUUGCUAGACCUAGUAAAAAAUAUUUUCUUCAGCAUUGUGGGUGAGCAUCAUCCAAUUUAUAGACAGCCUAGAUAGAACAAAAAGGCAGAGGAAGGGCAAAUUGACUCUCUGUGCUUAAGCAGAGACAUCCAUCUUCUCCUGCCCUUGGACAUGGGUGCUUUUUAUUUUCCAUCCUUUGGACUUGUACCAGAUCUUACACUAUUGUUCCCCAGUUCUUAGGCCUUUGGAUUUCGAGUAGGAUUUACACCCACUCCCCAUUCUUAGGUCUUUGGAAUUGGAAUAGGACUCACACCAUUGGCUCCCUGGUUCUCAGGCCUUUGGGCUUCAACUGUAACUAUACCAUGGCUUUCCAUAAUCUCCAGCUUGCAGACAGUAGAUUGCAGGACUUCUCAGACUCCAUAAUUACACAAGCAAAUUCUGCAUACUAAAUCUCUUUCCAUAUUUCUAAAUAUAUCCCAUUGAUUCUAUUUCUCCGGAAAGCCCCAACUAGUACAAAAGAAACCCAUUUCUUCAGAUUUCAAUCAAAAUAUGUAACAAUCUUUUUUACUUUUUGUAGCUAAGUCAUUUUAUCAAAAGCAAAAGACAGCUGGACUGUGUAAGUGGUAAAUUUGGAGGUGUCAGCUUGAGGAGACCAUGAAGAGAUUUUGAAGGGCUGACACUAUUAUGAAUUGAUCAGGAAAAAUUUUUUUUUUUUAAUUUUCCAGUUACAUGGUUAACCCUAAAGGCAAGAAAGAUAUAACCCUGCUAGUAUAGCUUGUUAUUUUAUGAGGUAAAAGAUGAAUGGCUUUAAUGAGCAAGCAUUGAAACGUUUGAACUCUCCUUCAAAGAAAAGGGAAAAUGAAAAGUAGUUGUUAAGCACAGACAACAUGCAAGGAAGGCACUGCAGUAGACCUAUGGCCCUAAGAGUCUGUGACCAGACACCAUUUCCAUGCAUCUAUCCACCAGAGUCCUAGUCUUGCUCUACCCUUAGGAGAUCAGAGACACAUGUCCAAAGUGCAAAUCAAAAGAAUAUAGUAGAGUGCAAAGAGCUUCAGCCUAAGAUUUACAUUAGAGAUUUACUGCUUGGAUCUCAGGUAAGUGCUUUAACUUCUCUAGAUCUUGAUUUCCUAAUCUGCAGCAUGGGAAUAAUAAUGCUCGUCUUAUAUCUCACAGGGCCAAUACUGUGUUAAAAGUAGAAAUAACAGGUGAGAAUGUUGACAAAAGUAAAACCAUAACAUAGAUGCCUGGUCCUGUAGUAAUGAGGCUUGGACUGGAGAAGACAUUAAAGUUGGGCCACAUCAUGAAACUGGAGAGGUGUGAUGGGUGCAGCAUGAACCAGGACAGAGGAAAGCAGAGAGAAGGUGCUCCACACUGAUGAAGCAGCCAGAGGAAUGGGCCUUGGCAGUGGAGGGGAACAUCUGGGCUCAGGCUCUAGACACGAGGCACAGAGAAGAGGAUACAGGCCUUCCUUUUGGAGAGAGAGAGAGAUAAGGUGAAAAGGAAUAUUGUAAAGACUAGCAGCCUCCUUGAGAACAGGGAGUGCACCAGAGACAUCACCUCUGGCUAUGCUGGCACAGAGUAUGGACUCAGCUAAUAUCUGUGGCAUCAAAGUGGACACAGUCUGACAAAAAGAGCCACCUUCCAGUCUUGUUUCAAUCCCAGCCCUCCAGCCUAGUAGGAAGCUGCAGAGUUACUCAGUGUCUGCUUGGCAAUCACCAACGGUUCCUUCCUUCUUAGACCAAAGCUGCAUCUCUCUGGAUUAACUGAGCCACAGAAUACACAGGCCUUUUGCUAUUACUUCAAAAUAGUGUCCUUUUGCAGAAAUCAUGCCAUCAAUCCAAUGGACAUGCCUCCCUCUGCGAACAGUGAGGCCAGGGACAAAUAAAUGGCCAGUGCACAUCAUGAAUCCCUCCGUGACAGGGCAGCUUGGAGAAAGGAAUGGAGUUCAGCACAUUUGUAUAAAAUAAAAACGGAUGGGUUCUGUUCUGCAACAAUCUGAAUUUCAGCCACUCUGACAUCUAAAAAUGCCUUGCCCAUCUUCUUCACUGUCAAAUACUUUAGAGCUUGGGCUGCUUGUCAGGGCUUUUUAGUGGGAAUAUAAGCCUAAAAGGAUACACUUUCAAAAGAAUUCCUGCACCUUUCACUAACAGCAAGGCAACCAGAUCUCCUAACUUCUGCAAUUCAGGGCCCACCUGUAGACCAGCUUUAUCAUGCUCAGAAAAGGAAAAGAAGAACAAGGGCAAUGGCCACUAGCAGGAGUGGAGCAUCCAAUUGCCAAGCCUUGAACUUGCUCCCCAUUUGUCAUUUCUCCAUUUAUGUAACAAAUAUUUGCUAUAACCACAGUGACAGGCGACCCUGUGAUCUCUCAGGAAGAGACCAUAUCUUGUUUCUUUUGUUGUAAAUGAUCAUGAAUUCAGGAUGGAAAGAGAUGUGGCCCUGGCCCUCAAGGAGAUCACAAGAUAGCAAGGAGACAGAUAACUAACCCAAUUAAAAUAAAUUAUGACCAGUAUGGUGAUAAAGAUAGGCACAGGUGCUAUGCUAACACAUAGAGAAAACCCCUAGUCUCCAGGGAUGGUGCAAGGUUUCCUGAAUGAAGUGACAUCUAAGAUGAUAUCAUAGAAGUGAAGAGCACUAAGCCUGACAAAGGCGGAAGGGUGUUGCAGGUUAUUCCAUCAGGCUUAACCUGUGGUUAGAGUGGCCCCAAAAGCAGUAGCAGGGGUGUUUCUGCAAGGGAUUGCCCCAAACAGGGCCAGUUGGGAUUCCAAAGAAAGAAGGACUAAAUGCCACAGAGAUCCAUCCAAAGCAUUUAUUAAGAGAAUUUACAUACAGAGUUCUGUAUGUAAAUUUGAGCAGUCCUCAAAAUGGACAGUGAGCAGAAGGAGAAUUUCCACCUAGGUAGUCUGCAACAAGGGGGUUGGGCUAUGGAGUUUAUGUGAGGCUUUAAGUAUCUAGCUCAGGGGGAGGGGCUAUUUUUUGUUUGUAGCAAUAUGUUUGAUUUUUUAGUUUUUUGGACUGUAGCCUAAAUAAGUUUAUCAGUGUUUGGGAAUAUUCAAGAACCUGGCUUGUGUUCAAGCCUGCAGGGAAAAACAUGUAGCUGGCCAGGUAGCAUAGAGGUCAAGACAAUCUGUGUUCCUUGAUCAGGAACACAGCAGGGAGUACUACGGUACUCUACACAGACAAAGGGAAGUACAAGGCCAAAGGCUUAGAGAUAAAUAAGAACAGGACACAUUGUGGGGACCUAAAGAAACUUAGGCUGGCUAAAGAAUCCAAUUUUGUCUGUCUGGCUAAUGGCAAAGAAGCAAGAUAUGAGACUGGAGAAAUAGGCAGGAGCCUGGUAAUGAAACCAUAUUAAGAAGUUUGAAUUACUAUUGCAGUAAUGGAGCUAUUGAAAGGUUACAAUCAAUAAAGUAGCUGGUUAGUUUUCAAUUCUGGAAAUCCCUCUCUGGCUAUAGAGUGAAAGGUUGAAGGAGGAGAGACUAUCCAUAUGAAAGAUGGUUUAAAUAGUCCAAGAGAUGAUGGUUGCCUGAACUUAGGUGGAGACAGUAGGAAUGGAGAAGAGUAGACAGAUUCAAGAGGUAUUUUCAGAGCUAUAUUCAAUGGCACAUGUAGGAAAAGAAACAGGGCUGGGUAUUUCCAUUCCCCAGGGCUUAAGUGAGAGACUGGAGACAGUGUCUAGAAGGGAAGGCAAGUUUAGAUAUGAGUCAAAAAAUUGCUGCUACCAAGAGGUCCAAGGAGGCAAAAGCCAGGAGUAGGACUCCGAAGAGCAGGCCAUCUUUCUGCCAGGGAAGCUAUUGUCUGGGUAACCAUUGAGGAGCAGGAUCUAACUGAUGGGAGAUUGAGAGGGUCAAGAACUGGGUCCUCAAGGAAUAGUUAGCUCCUGAUAGCUAAGAAAUAGGAUCUAACACAAAAUCUCACCAUGCUGCUCCCAUGCUAUCUAUUCCAUUCAAGAUAAUCUCAAAAACAGAAGGAAGCCAGGGCCCAAAGUUUAUAUGCAUCAGUAGCUUCAGUCAUCAUUGUGUGGGGUAGGGAUUCUGGAAGGGCUCAGUUGGCAGAUCCUGCUCCACAUGGCAUCAACUGGGCUCACUUGGUGGUGUCAGCUGACAGGUGGGCCAAUUUGCAAAAUUUGGGAUGGCUUCAGCCACAUGUCUGGUGCCCCAACUUCUGGGGAUGGUUGGAAGUUUUCCACUCGGGGGGGAUUAUUGACCAGAAUGCUUACACAUGGCUUCAGGGUAGUUGGAGUUCAUCCACAGCAUCCCAGAGUUCCCAGAGAGGUGUCUCAAGAUUCAGAAAAUUGGUACCCAUCACUGCCAUUGUAUUCUACUGGUCAAAGAUCGUGUAGAUAUAGAUUCCUCUUGAUGGAAGGAAUGCCAGCAACUUUGCAUCCAUCUUUAAUUCACCAUGAGACCUGAAAAGACAUAAGGUAGGUAAGGUGCUUAGCAUAGUGUCUGACACAUAGUAAGCACACGAUACAGGAAUAGAAUUUUUUGUAGCUAAUGGCAAGGUUCAAGUGAAGAAAACCAUGAAUUGUAAGGUCUUUGCAUAGUUCUCAAGCUACUGUGGCUCUUCACUAGUUAAUAUGAUCCAAUCCAGCGCCAUAUUCUGCUCUCAAUCCCUUGAGCAGUUUGAUAAUUACAUCUUCUGCAUCUAAGUUUAUUUUAUUUUAUUUUAUUUUAUUUUAUUUAUUUAUUUUUUUGCUGAGAAGAAGAAACAAGGUUGUUGUAGACAGUGGAGUCCAUGUGCAAAAAUUAAAAUCUGUGUGUCAGCGUGUCCUCAAAAUCAGUGGACAGGAAGGAAGAGAAGCAAAAGCAUGCAGGGCAUGCCAUGGCAAAAGAUUUGGGCUGCUGAGAGCCCCUGAUCCACAAAGCUGCCAUUGCUUUUGGUCCCAGGAUUUAGUGCCAGACUCACAGAGAUGUCGUGAGACAGUGAGACCUCCUGGCAGUGGAAAAGGUCAUGUACCACAGAACAUGAGUACCCUCCUGAAACUACCUUCCUAUCCAAAUGCCUCCUUGAAAAUCCCAACUCAAUUGAAAAAGAAAAAUCUGUCAGUCCUGAUAUAUUAGAAAGACAAUUCAAGCAGCUGCUAUUUGUAUUUUAUUUUUAGACAUCUUUAAUUUUUCCUUCAGACUGAUCACAAUUUCUAUAAUAUUAUUUCUUCUUCUAGGUCAAACAACAUCUGUUGUAUAAAAAAAAUAAACUAAUUCACAUUGUCGAGUUUACAACUUCCAUUUUUAUUGUGCUGCAGCAAUAUCAUGUAGUUAUUUUAUUUCCCCUCAGAAGAAGUCGUUAUGGUUGAUGGUGUCAAUCGACCAUAGAUUAAAGGGUCCCCAAACAGACUGUGGCACAUUGUUGAGGCUUUUAGUGUCAAUAAUCCUUGAGUAGGCUCUGAUAUGAUUAACUACAAUAACUCUAAAUGAUCAAUUCCUGUUUAUUGUUAAAAUGGAACUCUGCUUAUGCCAAGGAAUACCUUUCAGAAAGUUCCUUUCUACCACAUUUGUGUUUCUUCCUGUCUUAGGAUCUCCAUUAAAUAAGAAAUCUGGGUGAAGUCACUUUUGCAGCUUGGUCCUAAUCAUGAGGAAGGGAUGUUAUUAAAAGAAGCAAAUGAGCAAGUUUUUGACUAAUGAGCAGGUUACUAUAGCUAAAAAUUACUGAAGAAUUAACCCCCUGGCCUCCUUUCUGUUUGGUGCACAUGCUGUUUGCUUCUUCGGCCUGGAAACCUCUUCCCCACCCCUUCCUUUAGCUAAUGCCUACACAUUCUUCAGAUCUCAGCUCAACUGUCACUGUCAUUUUAAAUCCCCUCUCCCAGCAGAAUAGGUAAUAUCCCCUUACUCUACAUUCUUGCCACACCAUGUACCUUUCUGCUGGCGCACUUACUACAGUUGCAAUUUUGUUUAAAUUUGUGAGAUCAUUCACUGAAAUGUAUACCUCUCCCACCAAACUAGAAGAUAUGAGUAGAGGCACCAUGUCUAAUUCGCUCAUCAUUAUAUCCCUAGCACCUGGCACAAUACUUGGAAUAUAGUAAUCAUUCAAUAAGUAUUUGAUGAGUCAUCAAGCUAGCUCUGUUCCUGUAUCUGGACAGGCAGCUCUAGCUGCUGUGGCAUACAGCCCCAGAAUCUCAGUGGAUUAACACAAUAAAGAUUUAUUUCUCAUUCACAUCAAAAUAUAACAUAGAUUGGACAGCUCUCAUUGGAGGCUAUUUUCCAUGUGAUUAUCUAGGGAUCUAGAUUUCUUCCAUCUAGUGAUGCUGCAGUCUUCAACAUAUAACGAGCCCUACUUAAAGGCAGGUUCUGCAAUCACAGAUUCAACCAACUGCAGACAGAAAAUAUUCAGAAAUAAAACAAAUGAAAAAUAACAAUACAACAGUAAAAAAUACAAACAGAAGAAAACAAUACAGUAUAACAACUAUUUACAUAGCAUUCACAUUGUGUUAGGUAUUAAAAGUAAUCUCAAUAUGAUUUGAAGUAUUGGUGAGGAUAUGUGUAGGUUAUAUGCAAGUACUAUACCAUUCUAUAUCACAGACUUGAGCACCCACGACUUUUGGUAUCUGCAGAGGUCCUGGAACUCAUCCCUGUGAAUACUGAGGGAUAGCUAUAUAGUGUGCACAAUCUCUAAAGAAGGGAAAAAGAGAACAUGGACAGUGGUAUAAGGGAUUCUAUAGCCAGGCUUAGAAAUGGCACACUCUUACUUGUGCUCACACUCCAUCCAACCCGACCAUAAGCAGGGUUAAGAAAUGUAGUCUUUCUGUGUACCCAGGAAGAGAAAACAGGAUUGGUGAAUAUCCAGUCCAUCUUGGCCACAUGCUGUUCCACAGCUUACCACAUUUUACAACAAUGAAUACCAAUGAGAAAUCAACAAACCCCAAAAUAUUGUGCUCACUUUCUCUCCCUACUCUUAUACCUUACCUUAGCCAUCCUUGAUUCUAAUGAUUCCAAUUAGAGUUGAGGGCUUUAAAUCAAUGGUGUCUUGGUUAAAUAUUGUUUAAGAAGCAAGUAGAUACUUAAAAAACUGAAAAACAUAACCAACCCAGGUCAGCUCCCUCAUCAAAACCCUCUAAUAGCUUCCCAUCACUUGUCACAGACAUACAAGGUUUUCCAUGCUUUGGUUCUUAAUACCUUUCCAGAAGCAAGCAGGAGAUUUGUUUAAGGUAACUUGUUUUAUCUUGAAUAUUCAUGCGGCUGGGUGUGGUGGCUCAAACCUGUAAUCCCAGCACUUUGGGAGGCCAAGGCAGGUGGAUCGCCUGACGUCAGGAGUUCAAGAUGAGCCUGACCAACCUGGUGAAACCCCA